rnacentral:rRNA from 1 species
UGCAAGUCGAACGAGAAUCUACUGAAAGAGUUUUCGGACGAUGGAAGUAGAGGAAAGUGGCGGACGGGUGAGUAACGCGUGAGGAACCUGCCUUGAAGAGGGGGACAACAGUUGGAAACGACUGCUAAUACCGCAUGAAGCAUAGGGGUCGCAUGAUUCUUAUGCCAAAGAUUUAUCGCUUCAAGAUGGCCUCGCGUCUGAUUAGCUAGUUGGCGGGGUAACGGCCCACCAAGGCGACGAUCAGUAGCCGGACUGAGAGGUUGAACGGCCACAUUGGGACUGAGAUACGGCCCAGACUCCUACGGGAGGCAGCAGUGGGGAAUAUUGGGCAAUGGGCGCAAGCCUGACCCAGCAACGCCGCGUGAAGGAAGAAGGCUUUCGGGUUGUAAACUUCUUUUAAGAGGGAAGAGCAGAAGACGGUACCUCUAGAAUAAGCCACGGCUAACUACGUGCCAGCAGCCGCGGUAAUACGUAGGUGGCAAGCGUUGUCCGGAUUUACUGGGUGUAAAGGGCGUGCAGCCGGGUCUGCAAGUCAGAUGUGAAAUCCAUGGGCUCAACCCAUGAACUGCAUUUGGAACUGUAGAUCUUGAGUGUCGGAGGGGCAAUCGGAAUUCCUAGUGUAGCGGUGAAAUGCGUAGAUAUUAGGAGGAACACCAGUGGCGAAGGCGGAUUGCUGGACGAUAACUGACGGUGAGGCGCGAAAGUGUGGGGAGCAAACAGGAUUAGAUACCCUGGUAGUCCACACUGUAAACGAUGAAUACUAGGUGUGCGGGGACUGACCCCCUGCGUGCCGCAGUAAACACAAUAAGUAUUCCACCUGGGG